CGGGAAGCGGGUGAGUGCUUCUA
rnacentral:siRNA from 1 species